CAGCCCGGAUCCCAGCCCACUCA
rnacentral:miRNA from 1 species